rnacentral:rRNA from 1 species
UACGUAGGGUCCGAGCGUUGUCCGGAAUUACUGGGCGUAAAGAGCUCGUAGGUGGUUUGUCGCGUUGUCCGUGAAAACUCACAGCUCAACUGUGGGCGUGCGGGCGAUACGGGCAGACUGGAGUACUGCAGGGGAGACUGGAAUUCCUGGUGUAGCGGUGGAAUGCGCAGAUAUCAGGAGGAACACCGGUGGCGAAGGCGGGUCUCUGGGCAGUAACUGACGCUGAGGAGCGAAAGCGUGGGGAGCAAACGGG